rnacentral:rRNA from 1 species
UGCUUGCAUCAUGAUUUACAUUUGAGUGAGUGGCGAACUGGUGAGUAACACGUGGGAAACCUGCCCAGAAGCGGGGGAUAACACCUGGAAACAGAUGCUAAUACCGCAUAACAACUUGGACCGCAUGGUCCGAGUUUGAAAGAUGGCUUCGGCUAUCACUUUUGGAUGGUCCCGCGGCGUAUUAGCUAGAUGGUGAGGUAACGGCUCACCAUGGCAAUGAUACGUAGCCGACCUGAGAGGGUAAUCGGCCACAUUGGGACUGAGACACGGCCCAAACUCCUACGGGAGGCAGCAGUAGGGAAUCUUCCACAAUGGACGAAAGUCUGAUGGAGCAACGCCGCGUGAGUGAAGAAGGGUUUCGGCUCGUAAAACUCUGUUGUUAAAGAAGAACAUAUCUGAGAGUAACUGUUCAGGUAUUGACGGUAUUUAACCAGAAAGCCACGGCUAACUACGUGCCAGCAGCCGCGGUAAUACGUAGGUGGCAAGCGUUGUCCGGAUUUAUUGGGCGUAAAGCGAGCGCAGGCGGUUUUUUAAGUCUGAUGUGAAAGCCUUCGGCUCAACCGAAGAAGUGCAUCGGAAACUGGGAAACUUGAGUGCAGAAGAGGACAGUGGAACUCCAUGUGUAGCGGUGAAAUGCGUAGAUAUAUGGAAGAACACCAGUGGCGAAGGCGGCUGUCUGGUCUGUAACUGACGCUGAGGCUCGAAAGUAUGGGUAGCAAACAGGAUUAGAUACCCUGGUAGUCCAUACCGUAAACGAUGAAUGCUAAGUGUUGGAGGGUUUCCGCCCUUCAGUGCUGCAGCUAACGCAUUAAGCAUUCCGCCUGGGGAGUACGGCCGCAAGGCUGAAACUCAAAGGAAUUGACGGGGGCCCGCACAAGCGGUGGAGCAUGUGGUUUAAUUCGAAGCUACGCGAAGAACCUUACCAGGUCUUGACAUACUAUGCAAAUCUAAGAGAUUAGACGUUCCCUUCGGGGACAUGGAUACAGGUGGUGCAUGGUUGUCGUCAGCUCGUGUCGUGAGAUGUUGGGUUAAGUCCCGCAACGAGCGCAACCCUUAUUAUCAGUUGCCAGCAUUAAGUUGGGCACUCUGGUGAGACUGCCGGUGACAAACCGGAGGAAGGUGGGGAUGACGUCAAAUCAUCAUGCCCCUUAUGACCUGGGCUACACACGUGCUACAAUGGAUGGUACAACGAGUUGCGAACUCGCGAGAGUAAGCUAAUCUCUUAAAGCCAUUCUCAGUUCGGAUUGUAGGCUGCAACUCGCCUACAUGAAGUCGGAAUCGCUAGUAAUCGCGGAUCAGCAUGCCGCGGUGAAUACGUUCCCGGGCCUUGUACACACCGCCCGUCACACCAUGAGAGUUUGUAACACCCAAAGUCGGUGGGGUAACCUUUUAGGAACCAGCCGCCUAAGGUGGGACAGAUGAUUAGGGUGAAGUCGUAACAAGGUAGCCGUAGGAGAACCUGCGGCUG